CAGCAGCCGCGGGAAAACGAAGGGUGCAAGCGUUACUCGGAAUUACUGGGCGUAAAGCGUGCGUAGGUGGUUGUUUAAGUCUGCUGUGAAAGCCCUGGGCUCAACCUGGGAAUUGCAGUGGAUACUGGGCAACUAGAGUAAGGUAGAGGAUAGUGGAAUUUCCGGUGUAGCAGUGAAAUGCGUAGAGAUCGGAAGGAACAUCUGUGGCGAAGGCGACUAUCUGGGCCAUUACUGACACUGAGGCACGAAAGCGUGGGGAGCAAACAGGAUUAGAUACCCGUGUAGUCCCUGUCUCUUAUAA
rnacentral:rRNA from 1 species